GGAGAAAGGUUGAGGUUAGGCCCAUCCAAGCUUCCAAACGGCCUUAAUGGAAAAAAAUGACGUUGUUGACGUCGGUAGAGGGGCUGGGCUGAGCUUUUAUUCUGGCCCAAUUUCAUAAGACCCGUGUGAGGCUCAUCCACAUGGCAGUCUGCCCAAAUUCUUCACCAAGGGAAUCAUGUAUGAUACGUAUGAAAGCCAUGGAACCGAUGAGAUGAACUCCAUUACAAGGACAUGGCGUUGAACUGCAAUGGUGCCGGC
rnacentral:lncRNA from 1 species